CGGGGUGGAGUAACGCGUGGGUAACUUGCCUUGUACAGGGGGAUAACAGUUGGAAACGGCUGCUAAUACCGCAUAAGCGCACGGCAUCGCAUGAUGCAGUGUGAAAAACUCCGGUGGUAUAAGAUGGACCCGCGUUGGAUUAGCUAGUUGGUGAGGUAACGGCCCACCAAGGCGACGAUCCAUAGCCGACCUGAGAGGGUGACCGGCCACAUUGGGACUGAGACACGGCCCAA
rnacentral:rRNA from 1 species